rnacentral:rRNA from 1 species
GACAGAGGGUGCAAACGUUGUUCGGAAUUACUGGGCGUAAAGCGCGUGUAGGCGGCUAUGCAAGUCGGGCGUGAAAUCCCACGGCUCAACCGUGGAAGUGCACUCGAAACUGCGUAGCUAGAGUCCUGGAGAGGAAGGUGGAAUGCUUGGUGUAGAGGUGAAAUUCGUAGAUAUCAAGCGGAACACCGGUGGCGAAGGCGGCCUUCUGGACAGUGACUGACGCUGAGGCACGAAAGCUAGGGGAGCAAACAGG